AUGCAAGACCUCUUCUUUUCAGCAACAGAAAGUGUGGUAGGUGAUGGAAGGAACACAGAUUUCUGGAGGACCAAUUGGCUAGCAGGGGAGUCAUUAAAUCUGCACGGCCAACUUAUUUCAGUUAUCAGCAAAACUGAUCCGACGAAUCACAGAUGGGUGAGGGACAUUCAGGGGGCUCUGUCAAAAAGGGCGAUAGGUGAUCAGUUUGAUCUCUGGGAUGCCAUUCAGGAUGUUGAGUUACGUCCAGAGGAAUGGGACAGGACAAUCUGGAAGAUGGCAGUGGAUGGGCAAUUCUCUGUUUCGUCGGCCUACAGUAUUCAUUACCAAAAUGAGAGUGUGUUGUGGCAAACUGAUCUGGCAAACAAAGGUUCUGGUGAGGGUGAAAUUAUUUAUGUGGUUGGCAGAAAAAUGGCGAUGUCUCCCAGCGGACAAUCUACUGAAGAGAGGAUGACCUCAACAGCAGGCAUGCAUGCUCUCUCUGUAUGGUGGCGAAUGAGGAUUAUCGCCAUCUGUUUGUGAAUUGUACUAC
rnacentral:lncRNA from 1 species